rnacentral:rRNA from 1 species
AAUAGAUACCCUGGUAGUCCACGCCGUAAACGAUGAGUGCUAAGUGUUAGGGGGUUUCCGCCCCGUUAGUGGCUGCAGCUAACGCAUUAAGCACUCCGCCUGGGGAGUACGGUCGCAAGACUGAAACUCAAAGGAAUUGACGGGGGCCCGCACAAGCGGUGGAGCAUGUGGUUUAAUUCGAAGCAACGCGAAGAACCUUACCAGGUCUUGACAUCCCGCUGACCGCUAUGGAGACAUAGCUUUCCCUUCGGGGACAGCGGUGACAGGUGGUGCAUGGUUGUCGUCAGCUCGUGUCGUGAGAUGUUGGGUUAAGUCCCGCAACGAGCGCAACCCUUGUUCUUAGUUGCCAUCAUUUAGUUGGGCACUCUAAGGAGACUGCCGGUGAUAAACCGGAGGAAGGUGGGGAUGACGUCAAAUCAUCAUGCCCCUUAUGACCUGGGCUACACACGUGCUACAAUGGACGGUACAAACGGUCGCGAAGUCGCGAGACGGAGCCAAUCCGAGAAAACCGUUCUCAGUUCGGAUUGUAGG